GCUAGGCUCCUCAUUGGUCCCUGCUGUUGCUGCCCAGGGGGCUGAAGGUGGUACAGAGCUCUACGAAAGAUCCUUAGAGGAGUCUCUUGUCCAAUGGUGUAAAGCUCUGUGACAAACAUGGGAGACUCACAGACUCAUGAGGAUGUUAUACCAACAGAAACACUGCCAGCUUGGAAAGAAAAGACAGACGGAAUACAAAAUGAAAAAGGGCUGUUAGACAGCCCCCUCCACCAAAAUUCUACAGGCAAGAAAUGUGAUGAUAAAGCUACUCAGCUGUAAACAUGUGAUACACUUCAAGAAAAAGGAAGGAAGACUCCAAGGCCGGAGCCACUAGCUCAGAGGGGGGGUCUGAGCCUUGAGUCACAGAUAAUUAUUCUCAAGCCUUGAAACAAAAUGGAAUGUGCCUGGCUUGAUUUUGAAAUUGAUUGGGACUGGCAACUCCUUUUUCUUCCUCUUCUCUUUUUGAAUGGAAAUAUCUAUCACUGUUAUCCUACGCCUGUCUCACCUUUGUAUUUUGGGAGUAGAUAACUUGUUUCUCGAAUUUCCCAGGUUCACUGUUAUCCCAUGCCGAUCUCACCUUUGUAUUUUGGGAGUAGAUAACUUGUUUCUUGAAUUUCCCAGGUUCACAGAUGAAGAAGAAUUGUGCCUGAGGAUGGAUAACUUCCAGAGCCUUGGAUGAUGCAAUUUGGCACUUUUGAGCUAAUCUAAAAGUUAGAUGAGAUUUUGGACUUUGAGUUGUUACUUUAAUGGGUUGAUAAGCCUGGGAAUCUUGGGGUGGAAUGUACUUUGCAUAUGGAAUAGAUGUGUAUCUUUGGGUGCCAGAAGGCAGUCUGUGGUAGGCAGAUUAAUGCCUCCCACAAAAAUGUCUACCUCUAAUCCUAGACCCAUGAAUAUGUUAUGCUAAUGGCAAAGGUUGCAAAUAGAAUUAAGGUGUUAAUUAGUUGACUCUAAGAUGGGGAGGUCAUCUUGGAUUCUGUAGUGUAAUCACAAACAUCCAACAUCUUCACAAGGGUUCUUAUAAGUGAAAGGUGAAGGCAGUAGAGAGAAAGUAAGAGAUGGAAGAAUGAGCAGGACUCAACCCGAUGUGGCUGGCUUGGAGAUGGAGGAAGGGGCCACUAGCCAAGGAGUGUGAGCAGCCUCUAAAGCUGGAAAUGACAAAGACAUGGAUUCCCUGCUAGAGUUCCAAAGGGAAUACAGCCCUGGAGACCUUGAGUUUUGCCCAGUGAGACCAGUUUGAGACCUCUGACCUCCACAACUCUAAGAUAAUAAAUGUGUAGUUA
rnacentral:lncRNA from 10 species